UAGAUUAUAUGGGUGGCUACGUUCUUUGAAAACAUAAACUCCUCCACUGUCAAAUGUUACAAUAACUGCAGACCUUUCAGAUUUCUAAAACUUUCUCUUAAUUUUUAUAUCUACUCACCCAAAUGGAAUUCACCCAAAUGAAAUUCCACUCUUCAGUAUAUGUUUUCUCCAUUCCAAUUCUUCUGCGCUUCUACUUUUCAAAGAGUACGAAUUUUUGUGUUCCUCCAUCUCAAUUCACCGUCAAAUGCGUCUGCCACCACCGUGCUAUUGCCAAACAAUGACAAGACCAUUGUGUUGCCACCGACGACAUCUCUGAUUCUCCAUAGCAUCACAUCACAAAGCAUCAAAGCAUCAACGCAUCACACAUCAAUCACUGCAAGAUCCGUUUCACCUACUUGUCGUCACCGAAGAUAUUUAUGAAGGAAAAAAUCAUGAGUUUCUGUCAAUAUAAGAGAAUGUGAAUGUGUUUCAGAUUGAUAGUGUUGUUUUUAAGCGACAUCAACAUAUUUGAAAAAACUAUCAAGCAUCACAGCAAAUACAACAUUCAACAAUAUCCUUUCUAUUUUUCAUCUACAACAAGCAUAUCCUUUGAAAAAAACGCAUAGGAAGAAAAUAGGGAAGACUCAAAGGCACAAGGAUGAGGUUUAUACCACACAUUUGAUUUUCUGUGAGCUCUGAGUUCGAUUUCACAGUGAUGGUCGAAGGUUCCACGCUUUGAUUAUUUACUUUUCAUUUGCAUUUAUGAUUUUGUUGUUUGUUUCAAAUGUGCCAUAAACAUGGUGUGAUGCAUAGAGAUCUAAAGCCUGAGAAUUUUUUGUUUGCGAAUAAGGAAGCAACGACUUUGAAAGCCAUCGAUUUUGGUUUGUCGGUGUUCUUUAAACCAGGUAAGGAUUCUGGAUGGUGAUUAUGCUUGAUUUUUAUUGAAUGGUUGGGUUUUGUGGUUUUACAAUUAGCUUAAAGUUUGCCAUUUUCUGUAGGUGAAAGAUUUAAUUAGAUUGUUGGAAGUCCCUAACUUAACAAUGUUUGAAUGUUUAUCGAGGAAACAUCCAUGAAGUAUUAAUCCUUUUGCCCAUUUUCACGAGUUAUUCAUGCUGUCUAUACAACUAAUUUUUCUUGUGUGAGAAGGUUAUUGUCGAUCAUUUGUCAGCAGAAGAGGCAGUGGGACUAAAAGAGGGAUUCAAGCUUAUGGAUACAAGCAACAAAUGCAAGAUCAACAUUGAUGAAGUGGUGCUUAGAAAUCUGCAGUGAUGUUCCAGGAUUUAUCAUAAAGCUUGGUUUUAGUUUUGGUAUUGUUUUAUCAUCUGUGACAUCUCUUGAGUUGGCUACAUGUUGAUUUAGGUGGUUGGUAUGCUUUUCAUCUUAAAAUACAAUUUUGUUAUUUUAAAUUGGUUAUUGUUUGCAGUUACUUACAAGUUGAGUUGCUCUAAGAGCUCGU